UUGAAAGGGAAACGAUUGAAGUCAGUCGUACCGACGGACAAUCAGCCUUUUGAGUGCGAUUCUGUGGGGCAUGAGGAGGAAACCCUCAUGUUUUGCAUAUUUGUGCUCUUUGGGUGUAUUUGUUCGUAUGGUGGGUUAACAUCAAUUUUGGUCGUCAUAAAAUGACGGGAGGAAUGUAGCUUUGGUCUCGUAUUGAAGUGUUAUAGCCUCUGGUAGAUGUGACGACCGGGAUUGAGGAUUGCAACGGAUACCUCUCGGGGCUACUCGCCUGAUCU
rnacentral:rRNA from 1 species